UUAAGUUUCUAAUUCCUGAAAAGAUUUUUUGAUUAAUCUAGUUCUAAAAUUGAUUGAAGUUGGGUGUUUAAGGUUUGAUUUUGAAGUUUUUGUGGUUAUUGUUCGAGUGAGGCUGCCUUCUAUUGUUUUCACAAUCAUUUUGGUUUGAACUGGUAUUUCUGGUGCUGGCUUGCUACUAUUCUACUGCUGAGUCCUCAUUUUUCUAUUUUGUUUUCAAGUUCCUGGUACAUUUUUCUGUUGGAAUAUGGGAAUGAGAAGUUAAUGCAAGGCAGUGGACUUAUUUGAGUUUUAUUUAUUUGUUUUUUUGUGCCUUAGAUCGUAUGGAUCUUUGUGUAUUAUAGCUAAUUUCAGUUUUGAACAAUGGGAUUCACAUAGUUGUACUUAAUUUGGGGGCUGUUGAAGUAAUGGCGUGCUAAGUAUCCUGUGAAUCAGCCUUAGCCCUAGAGAAGAUGACCGUCCAUGCUUGAUAAUGGUUUGUGUUCGAAAUGUUUUUUGAAUAGGCUAAGGAUACUCAUG
rnacentral:lncRNA from 1 species